UGGAGGGCAAGUCUGGUGCCAGCAGCCGCGGUAAUUCCAGCUCCAAUAGCGUAUAUUAAAGUUGUUGCAGUUAAAAAGCUCGUAGUUGGAUUUCUGUUAAUAAUUUAUAUAAAAUAUUUUGAUGAAUAUUUAUAUAAUAUUAACAUAAUUCAUAUUACUAUUUUUUUUAGUAUAUGAAAUUUUACUUUGAGAAAAUUAGAGUGCUUAAAGCAGGCAUAUGCCUUGAAUACUCCAGCAUGGAAUAAUAUUAAAGAUUUUUAUCUUUCUUAUUGGUUCUAAGAUAAGAAUAAUGAUUAAUAGGGACAGUUGGGGGCAUUUGUAUUUAACAGUCAGAGGUGAAAUUCUUAGAUUUGUUAAAGACAAACUAAUGCGAAAGCAUUUGCCAAGGAUGUUUUCAUUAAUCAAGAACGAAAGUUAGGGGAUCGAAGACGAUCAGAUACCGUCGUAGUCUUAACCAUAAACUAUGCCAACUAGAGAUUGGAGGUUGUUCCUUACUCCUUCAGCACCUUAA
rnacentral:rRNA from 1 species